rnacentral:rRNA from 1 species
GGUGCUUCACACCCACCUAGAGGAGCCUGUUCUAGAACCGAUGACCCCCGUUCAACCUCACCUUCUCUUGUUUACCCCGCCUAUAUACCGCCGUCGUCAGCCCACCCUGUGAAGGAUUUCUAGUGAGCAGAAUUGGCACAGCCCAAAACGUCAGGCCGAGGUGUAGCGUAUGGGAAGGGAAGAAAUGGGCUACAAUUGCUUAAACAGCUAAUACGAAUUGUUACGCUGAAAUCGCAAACAUGAAGGAGGAUUUAGAAGUAAGAGGAUAAACAGAGUGUUCCUCUGAAAUGGCUCUGAAGCGCGCACACACCGCCCGUCACUCUCCCCAAGCUAGACCAGAAUCGCAUAACUAAAAAGCAUUAUCCUACGAAGGGGAGGCAAGUCGUAACAUGGUAAGUGUACCGGAAGGUGUACUUGGUAUAAAU